UACAUGGGGUGCAAACGUUGCUCGGAAUUAUUGGGCGUAAAGCGCACGUAGGCGGUUUGUUAAGUCGGAUGUGAAAUCCCUCGGCUCAACUGAGGAAGUGCAUCCGAAACUGGCAGGCUUGAGUACUAAAGAGGGUCGCGGAAUUCCCGGUGUAGAGGUGAAAUUCGUAGAUAUCGGGAGGAACACCAGUGGCGAAGGCGGCGAUCUGGACAGAUAUUGACGCUGAGGUGCGAAAGCGUGGGUAGCGAACAGG
rnacentral:rRNA from 1 species